rnacentral:rRNA from 1 species
UACGAAGGGGGCUAGCGUUGCUCGGAAUCACUGGGCGUAAAGGGUGCGUAGGCGGGUCUUUUAAGUCAGGGGUGAAAUCCUGGAGCUCAACUCCAGAACUGCCUUUGAUACUGAGGAUCUUGAGUUCGGGAGAGGUGAGUGGAACUGCGAGUGUAGAGGUGAAAUUCGUAGAUAUUCGCAAGAACACCAGUGGCGAAGGCGGAC